AGACGUCUACAUUAGAUACCCGGGUAGUCCAGGGUGUAAACGCUGCAGACUUGGUGUUGGAAGCCCUUUGGGGGCAUUCAGUGCCGGAGAGAAGUUGUUAAGUCUGCUACUUGGGAGUACGUCCGCAAGGAUGAAACUUAAAGGAAUUGGCGGGGGAGCACCGCAACGGGAGGAGCGUGCGGUUUAAUUGGAUUCAACACCGUAAAACUCACCAGGGAAGACUGUUACAUGAAGGCCGAGAUGAAGACUCUGCUAGAUUUUCAG
rnacentral:rRNA from 1 species